AUUGAACGCUGGCGGCAUGCCUUACACAUGCAAGUCGAACGGCAGCACGGGUGCUUGCACCUGGUGGCGAGUGGCGAACGGGUGAGUAAUACAUCGGAACGUACCUUAUCGUGGGGGAUAACGCAGCGAAAGCUGUGCUAAUACCGCAUACGCCCUGAGGGGGAAAGCGGGGGAUCGAAAGACCUCGCGCGAUUAGAGCGGCCGAUGCCUGAUUAGCUUGUUGGUGGGGUAAAAGCCCACCAAGGCGACGAUCAGUAGCUGGUCUGAGAGGACGAUCAGCCACACUGGUACUGAGACACGGACCAGACUCCUACGGGAGGCAGCAGUAAGGAAUAUUGGUCAAUGGAGGCAACUCUGAACCAGCCAUGCCGCGUGCAGGAUGACGGCCCUAUGGGUUGUAAACUGCUUUUAUACAAGAGAAAACCCGAGUAACGUGUACUCGGUUGAUAGUAUUGUAAGAAUAAGCAUCGGCUAACUUCGUG
rnacentral:rRNA from 1 species